rnacentral:rRNA from 1 species
AGAGUUUGAUCCUGGCUCAGGACGAACGCUGGCGGCGUGCCUAAUACAUGCAAGUCGAGCGGACAGAAGGGAGCUUGCUCCCGGAUGUUAGCGGCGGACGGGUGAGUAACACGUGGGUAACCUGCCUGUAAGACUGGGAUAACUCCGGGAAACCGGAGCUAAUACCGGAUAGUUCCUUGAACCGCAUGGUUCAAGGAUGAAAGACGGUUUCGGCUGUCACUUACAGAUGGACCCGCGGCGCAUUAGCUAGUUGGUGGGGUAAUGGCUCACCAAGGCGACGAUGCGUAGCCGACCUGAGAGGGUGAUCGGCCACACUGGGACUGAGACACGGCCCAGACUCCUACGGGAGGCAGCAGUAGGGAAUCUUCCGCAAUGGACGAAAGUCUGACGGAGCAACGCCGCGUGAGUGAUGAAGGUUUUCGGAUCGUAAAGCUCUGUUGUAGGGAAGAACAAGUGCGAGAGUAACUGCUCGCACCU